GGUCUGCAGCUGCGCAGAGAAUGAAAUGGAGGGUCUAACACAGACAAGGCCAACCACUUCACCAGAUGAAAGCCUUUUCAGAGGCAGAAUAUGACAGAAUUGAAUUACUACAGAGGAAGAUAUGAAGAGCUACAGCUAGCAAGUAUGGGCCAUUCUGUCAGUCCUGGUACCUGCUAUGGCCAGAAGAUGACAUUGGAUCGCUAAGAACUGGAGUCAUUGUUGGUUAGACUCUCUCACAGGAACUCGAGAUUCACAGAUUUUGCAGACUACAUGGCGAAGGAGCUCCAGUGACAUGGCUGUCUUGACUUUCCAAUGUUAACUGGCUCUGAAGAUCAGGCUGUCCUCAAACUCCUUGAUCUGCCUGCUUGUCUCCCAAGUGCCAGGACUGAAGAUGUGUAACACCAUCGCCCCAUGGUUGUAAUGAAGCAUUAAGAAUCUGAUUAAGAAUGGAUUGCUUGGAUAAGAUCUACCUGAAGACCAAGGUGUUCCCAAAAGACACCUACCAUGCCACAGGGGUACGUGUUUCACUGUGUUCAUAGCAGCCUUAUUGGUGAUAGCCAGAAGCUGGAAACAACCCAGAUGUCUCACCAUGGAAGAAUGGAUACAGAAAAUGUGGAGCCUAGCAUGGCUGCCCUUCAAGAGGCCCAACAAGCAGCUGACUGAGACAGACACAGAUACACCCAACAAAAAUGUACUGACCACUGUGGUUGAAUGAGGGAGAGGCUGGAAGAAGCUGAGGAAGAGGGUGACCCCAAAGGAAGACCAGCAGUCUCAACUAACCUGACCCCCAAGAUCUCUCAGACACUGACCCACCAACUGGCAGCAUACAAGAAGUGGUUCAAGGACUCUGACACAUAUACAGCAGAGGACUUCCUGGUCUUGCCUAAGUAUAUGUCUUCGAAUACAUGUCUGUUGCCUUCAGUGGCCAGAAGAUGGUGUAAGAUUCCCCUGGAACUGGAAUUACAGACAUUUUGAAAUCACUUCAGUUCAACGUGGAAUUAACACCCCACCCUGCAAACCAUCACAGGAGCCUGAAGGGGACCUGACCAUCUGAGUCUUCAGGAAGACAUCCUUCAUGGAUCUCGAUUUGGAUUUCUGAACAGAAAAAAAAG
rnacentral:lncRNA from 1 species